CAAAGCUAUUAAUUUUGUCUUUCCAGAAUUAUUUUCCCUUCCACAAUUCUGGUUUCAGAUCCAUACCACCACCCUUGCGUCCUGUCCCCAGACACACUUGACCCAGGAUUGGCCCAUGGAGUGCCCCAAGUCCAUCCAUUUAAGAGCCUUUUCCAGGACGAAAAAUAUAACUGGAUCUGAGAGAGAAAACAGUCUUCUCAGUGAUUGGUAUAUGGGCCCCAUGCUGCUGCUGACUAUGUUCCUUCCCCAAGAUAGAAAAAUCAUGGCAGCGGGAGAGAAUAAUGUGCAAGGAGAAGAGAGAUGGCAGAACAUCUGUUUUGUUGAAGAGCACAGCAAUGUUUACUGGACUAAGAAAUGGGCCUCUGCAGGUGAGUUUUAG
rnacentral:lncRNA from 1 species